rnacentral:rRNA from 1 species
UACGGAAGGCAGCAGGGGGGAAUAUUGCACAAUGGGCGCAAGCCUGAUGCAGCCAUGCCGCGUGUAUGAAAAAGGCCUUCGGGUUGUAAAGUACUUUCAGUCGUGAGGAAGGUGUUAAGGUUAAUAACCUUAGCAAUUGACGUUAGCGACAGAAGAAGCACCGGCUAACUCCGUGCCAGCAGCCGCGGUAAUACGGAGGGUGCGAGCGUUAAUCGGAAUUACUGGGCGUAAAGGGCACGCAGGCGGUUAAUUAAGUUGGAUGUGAAAUCCCCGGGCUUAACCUGGGAAUGGCAUUCAAGACUGGUUAGCUAGAGUCUUGUAGAGGGGGUAGAUUCCAUGUGUAGCGGUGAAAUGCGUAGAGAUGUGGAGGAUACCGGUGGCGAAGGCGGCCCCUGGACAAAGACUGACGCUCAUGUGCGAAAGCGUGGGGAGCAAACAGGGAUUAGGAUACC